rnacentral:rRNA from 1 species
AGCAGUCGCCGCGGGAAUACGAAGGGUGCAAGCGUUACUCGGAAUUACUGGGCGUAAAGCGUGCGUAGGUGGUGGUUUAAGUCCGUUGUGAAAGCCCUGGGCUCAACCUGGGAAUUGCAGUGGAUACUGGGUCACUAGAGUGUGGUAGAGGAUAGUGGAAUUUCCGGUGUAGCAGUGAAAUGCGUAGAGAUCGGAAGGAACAUCUGUGGCGAAGGCGACUAUCUGGGCCAACACUGACACUGAGGCACGAAAGCGUGGGGAGCAAACAGGAUUAGAUACCCCAGUAGUCCCUGUCUCUUAUAC